rnacentral:rRNA from 1 species
CGUUGUCCGGAUUAUUGGGCGUAAAGAGCUUGUAGGCGGUUUGUCGCGUCUGCUGUGAAAGGCCGGGGCUUAACUCCGUGUAUUGCAGUGGGUACGGGCAGACUAGAGUGCAGUAGGGGAGACUGGAAUUCCUGGUGUAGCGGUGGAAUGCGCAGAUAUCAGGAGGAACACCGAUGGCGAAGGCAGGUCUCUGGGCUGUAACUGACGCUGAGAAGCGAAAGCAUGGGGAGCGAACAGGAUUAGAUACCCUGGUAGUCCAUGCCGUAAACGUUGGGCACUAGGUGUGGGGAACAUUCCACGUUUUCCGCGCCGUAGCUAACGCAUUAAGUGCCCCGCCUGGGGAGUACGGCCGCAAGGCUAAAACUCAAAGAAAUUGACGGGGGCCCGCACAAGCGGUGGAGCAUGUGGAUUAAUUCGAUGCAACGCGAAGAACCUUACCUGGUCUUGACAUGUACGGAAUCCUCCAGAGACGGAGGAGUGCCUUCGGGAGCCGUAACACAGGUGCUGCAUGGCUGUCGUCAGCUCGUGUCGUGAG